AUGAACGCUGGCGGCGUGCCUAACACAUGCAAGUCGAGCGGAGACCAUGAAGUUUCGAUGGAUUGGUUUCAGCGGCGGACGGGUGAGUAACACGUGAGUAACCUGCCUUCUUCUGGGGAAUAACACAGAGAAAUUUGUGCUAAUACCGCAUGAUGUCACGACUGGGCAUCCAGAUGUGACCAAAGGAGCAAUCCGGAGGAAGAUGGACUCGCGUCCGAUUAGGUAGUUGGUGAGGUAACGGCCCACCAAGCCUACGAUCGGUAGCCGAACUGAGAGGUUGAUCGGCCACAUUGGGACUGAGACACGGCCCAGACUCCUACGGGAGGCAGCAGUGGGGAAUAUUGGGCAAUGGGCGCAAGCCUGACCCAGCAACGCCGCGUGAAGGACGAAGGCCUUCGGGUUGUAAACUUCUUUGAUCAGGGACGAAACAAAUGACGGUACCUGAAGAACAAGCCACGGCUAACUACGU
rnacentral:rRNA from 1 species